ACCUCGACCGGCUCGGCGGCAGGCGUGGGUGGCGCUACCGGCGCCGCAGGCUGUGGUUCAGCCAUACCGGGCUGC
rnacentral:tRNA from 1 species